CUCUGAGCAGAGCAUUGUGACUGGACCCUCAAAGCCAGGCAGGCACCAUAACUUUGGAUUUUCAGCAAUUCUUGAUCCCAGAGAUCUGGCUGUUGGUUCCCUCUGCAGUAUUGUAACAUCUCACUCACCAGAGUACCAAGCUAUGAGGCACACAACCCAUCCCAAGCCACUUUUCUAUCUCUGAAGGCUCCUGGUGGGCAGAGCAGCCAACAUCAAAGAUUCUCAUGUGAACUGUCCACCCCUCCCUCGUAGCCUCAGCCUGGCAAAGAAGCCCUCUAAUGAAGCAGCUCCAGACUUCCAGAUCCAUCCACUGGAAAUACAACCUGAGUGGUUCUCUCACCCAGGGCUUGCACCGAGGACAGGUUGUAAACCAUCUUACCAGACCCAGGCUGCUUCGAAUCAGCAUUGCACAGCACAGCGGUUUCCUCACACUGUCACUUAUGUUUACAAAUGAGGAAACCGAGGCCACCGGAGGUCAAGGACCUUACCUUCCACAUGAGUUCUUCAGGGUGGCAGUGGCACCGGGUGUACCAUGGCCUCGGCCUGGCACUAAUGGGGGCCUCCAGGCCUGGGCAGGUUUCCUUUGGGAGUUACAGCCUCUAUAUGAGGCUCAAAGCAGAACCCCUCCCCCCAGCUCACCCUGGCAGCCUCAUCCUGCUUCCCUCUGCCCUAGCUCUCCUCCCAGGCCACUGCCCCCCACCUCGAGACUCUGCCUUACCCCACCCUUGACAGUGACCGUGAAGAACCCCAAGAAACUUAGCCACAUGCAAUAUUCCCAUCUCCCACCUCCCCCAACAUACACCCUUUGA
rnacentral:lncRNA from 1 species